ensembl:lncRNA
GGAAGAAAAGCGAACAACAAUGGAAGAUGAAAAUGAGAAACUGAGGCAACAGCUCAUAGAAGUUGAGAUAGCAAAGCAAGCAUUGCAGAAUGAACUGGAAAAAACGAAGGAGAAUUGUUGGAUAUUGCAAAGCAACUGGAAAGCUCUCUUUAGAAGACAACAAAUGUAGAAAGGCUGGUUUCAAGGUCCAACUCCGCUUUGCACAUACUCUCUGCCCAAAUCUGGGAGGUAAUUCUGUGUGGAGGCUGAGAGGACUGGUCUAGGCAAAGGAGGAUGGUGGCCUUCAUCAGAGGGGCAGCUGUGGAACUGAACACAUCUGACAUGCCUUCAGACACCAGGAUGAACAGUACAUUGACCCAUGCAUUCAGCAGCUAAAAUGUGCCAGGGCUGUGAAUUCCUGCAUUUAUCUACUUUUGUUUUCCUGUGUAGACACAAGGCUGCCUGGCCUCCCAGAGAGCUGGUAUCACCAAGGCAAUGGACAUGCGUUUGAACAAACUCUGGGAGAUAGUGAAGGACAAGGGAAGCCUCGUGUGCUGCAGUCCAUGGCGUCACAGAGUUGGACGUGACUUAGCAACCAAACAACAAUUGCACAGAACUGUUGCAAGGAUUUGACGAGAUAAUACUACGUCACCUCCAUAAAGGAGGAGCUGGUCUUGUCUGAAGUCAAUAAAUGGUCUCGGCCAUUCCUCCACACUGUCUAAGUUACUAUGAAUGACCUCGUCAUUGUGAACUGGCGUUGGGUUGAUUGUGUGAUCGCUUGAGAAGAGGCAGGGAGAGUGGAACCAGUUCAGAUGGAGGCUCGGAG